rnacentral:rRNA from 2 species
CCAGAGAUGGAUUGGUGCCUUCGGGAACUGUGAGACAGGUGCUGCAUGGCUGUCGUCAGCUCGUGUUGUGAAAUGUUGGGUUAAGUCCCGCAACGAGCGCAACCCUUAUCCUUUGUUGCCAGCGGUCCGGCCGGGAACUCAAAGGAGACUGCCAGUGAUAAACUGGAGGAAGGUGGGGAUGACGUCAAGUCAUCAUGGCCCUUACGACCAGGGCUACACACGUGCUACAAUGGCGCAUACAAAGAGAAGCGACCUCGCGAGAGCAAGCGGACCUCAUAAAGUGCGUCGUAGUCCGGAUUGGAGUCUGCAACUCGACUCCAUGAAGUCGGAAUCGCUAGUAAUCGUGGAUCAGAAUGCCACGGUGAAUACGUUCCCGGGCCUUGUACACACCGCCCGUCACACCAUGGGAGUGGGUUGCAAAAGAAGUAGGUAGCUUAACCUUCGGGAGGGCGCUUACCACUUUGUGAUUCAUGACUGGGGUGAAGUCGUAACAAGGUAACCGUAGGGGAACCUGCGGUUGGAUCACCUCCUUACCUUAAAGAAGC